rnacentral:lncRNA from 1 species
AAAAAAAAAAAAUAGAGGAAGAAAAUUUUUAAAGGGAGUCAUCUUCCUUUGCACUCCUCUUUCGCUUCAUUUUUUGGAGGCAGCACAGGAAAGCAGUUUCCAGUCAGAUGAGGAAACAGGACUCUGUCAGGUAGAGAACCAGUAGAUUCUGCGAAGAUGGAGGGGAAUUAUGCUCUGUAUUCCUCUGAAAUAUUGGCCCUAGCAUCCGCAGCGGGAGGUGGGGGCUGCAUCCCCAGCGUGCACCCACCCCUUCCCUCUUUGCGUCUACGGAAUGACAGCUUGGUGCUCCUCUUGCUGCUCUGGCCUCUGCUGUAGCCAAGCAGCUGGUGCAGAGGAGGGCCCGGUUUGCAGGACCGGCAAGGUGCAUGCUAAAGAAGAAAUUUUUUAAAAGCAGCACUGAAGAGGUUUCUUGCUCUUCACCCUUUUUAAAAAAACAAAACAAAACAAAUUUUAACUGAAUAUUUUCCAAAUUUGAUCAUCCCCAGCCCCUCCCUCCACUCCCACCCAAAUGCCUGUUUCCCCCAUCUCUUCAAAGCAAAAACUACAGAGUUACAGUCUCCAGAUUUGGUGUAUCGCUUCCUGCCCCCGCCUCCCCCUCCCCGCCCGCCCCGCUCUCCGUCCUCUAUUGAAACACCUCGAGCAGCCUAGCUCUCCGAGCUCACAUUCUCCCCCUUGCUGGGAAUGGUGCUCCUGGAGGUCGUGCAGUCCCGCUCCGCUUCGAAUGGCUGGUCCUAUAGCACCCUGUUCAGGAAUGUCUCCCCAGUGAAAGGACAGAGACUACAGAGACUGCUAUGUUGAUCAACCCUCAUGCCAACUGUGAAGUUGAAACAAAGAAAGUGACAACCUGAAGAUAUCUCUCCUGUCCAGCAACAAACCCAAAAGGUGCAGUUUCAACCAUUAAAAUUCUCAGAAAAAGAGGCAAUUGUUCCAAGAAACAUAAAAACCCAGUAAUGACACCUAGAUCUCUAACAAGCCAAGAAGAACAUUCCCUUCCUUCUGUGUAUUCCUCUGUUUGUAUUUAAAUUCAUGUGACAUUAAUUUUUUUCCUAGUAUGGAGAAACUUCUUAAUGUACACAUUUUAAAAUCUAAAUUUACACAAAUGUGUUAAUAUGUUAAGGAACAAAAUUGGUGCUAUGAGGAGAAUGAUUUUUAGUCAUACACAGAGUUUAUUCUUAAGAGUAGCAUAGAGAAUUGAAGUACUUUUGAAAUGACAAAGUAGUCACUGGUAAUUUAAAGGAUAAAAGAAUGGGAGAAACUCAUGCUGGAGCUUCAAAAUACCACAUUAUUCCACCUUAUACCAGCCAGUAAACCAUUACCUUUAUCAAGCAAGCUCAGUUCUGUGAGAUAUGAUUAUUGCUUCUAAGAACUUUAAUCUAGAUAGAUAUGUAACUUUUUACAUAAACUUUUGAAAAGGUAAGUAACGGGUAGGUUCAGUAGAUAACAACAAAAAGCAAUGUAAAUGAUGAACUCAAAAGAGGUCUCAAUAAGGUGGGCAAAACUAACUUUCUUAGUGAAGGAAGUUUCCAAAAUAGGAAAGUAGGAGAUUAUUCUUGAAGGAUGUCAAAAAUAUAGAUGGUAUAAAGGUAGAAGAAAAAAGAGUCCACUAGGUACACAAUAUUGUAAGCAAAACCUUGGAGAAGGAAAUCCACAUGGUAAAUUUAGGAGAGGAUGAAUGCACGUGUUGAUUUCACGUAACUCUAGGCACGCAGUACCUCUGUGUACUGGGAAAAACUUUGCACACAUACACCUCCCCUUUCAAUCCCCUCCUGCCUCCACCAAGUUUCACCUAGAAUUGUAUUUCUUUGCCAUUGUAGCACAAGAAGGUGAUUGGUGGUAAUAUGGAGAACUUGUGACUUUUCUGUUGAUAAUAAUUACUAUAUAUUGACUUCUCACUCUAUAUUAAGCAUUUUGCAGACUAACUCAAGCCUCAAGAUGAGGAUGCAAAUUAGAUAUUAUUAUCCUCAUUUUAUAGGUAAUAAAACUGAAGUUUAAUAAAAUUAUGUAACUUGACAAAAUGCCACAUAUGCUGUUCAUAUUUAGGAUUACGAUGACAAAGUUCAUGAUUUAAAGCACUAUCUCACAAUAUUGUGAUCAAUGUCAACAAUAUUGCCCUUUUUCUAUAUUCUUUGAUUGUCUAUGGCAAAUUAUUAUUAAUAUUAUUAAAUUAUCACCUAAAUCUUAUUAUUUUUCUGGAUAAAUUACAUUAGAGUGCUAGAAUGUAUUUUCAUUUAAAAAAGGAAAAAUUUGAGAAGUCGAGCUUUUCAGCACUUUAGACCUUUCUUUUCUGUUUUUGGCAAGACUUUGGUGAGACUUUCUACUUUGUUCUGCAAGAAAUCUCAAAUCUUUGAGAAUAAAAAUGGAAAAGUGUUUAUGUCACACAUUGCAAUGUCCUUUUUUACAGACAAGAUGAAUCUAUAGCCCAUAAACUUGGAGUGACUUACAGAAGUUCACAUUUGGCCCUUGCAGUAGACCAAAGACUAGAAAUAAGUCCCUUCAGUUUGGUCCACUCUCAGUGCCACUUGAACUAUGCCGCUCUGCAUAAAUGAAGCAUGAACUUGAAUUUGAUUAAAGGAAACAAUACAUCUAGGUAAUCAGGGAACAAUGUACAUAGUAGAUUGCUUCAAUUUUGUAUUUCUUUGCCAACUCACUUCAAUGUGAAGAACAGCUAGCCAUGAACUAGGAGCUUUAAACCCAUAAAUUGUCAAUCCAUCCCCCAGAAAACACAAAAUGACCAAAGUUUGUGUUUUCAAUAUUGUGUACAAUAUCUUCAAUAAUAUCAAGUUAUUUGGAAUUCUUAGUUUACUGGCACAAAUCAAAUCUUAACCAACUUUGUGCAGAGUAUACAUUUGUAAGUGGAUCUGCAUGAAUGCUUAUAGAUGACCAUUUCAAUAGUGCACUUUUAAAAAUAUCAAAUCAUUUGCUCUUAUAAUCUUCAUUUAUCCACGUAACUAAAGAAUACUUUGGCUAUGAAAAGAUAGACUUGAGAAAUCUCACUCUUCUUUACCAGCAAGUUUGCCUUUGGGCGGUGUUUAAUAAUGACUCAGAGCAUUAUUACUGCAUAGCAUAGAGAUUCAAAAUGCAAUUCUGUUUUAGAGGAACCAAUCAAGCUGGAUCUAUUUGAGGAUAGACAUCUUCAUGUUUGGAAAUACCAGAAUAUUUGGUCAUUGUAAAUGUCCACUUAGAUAUGUGGCAUUGUCACAUUUAGUUCUUUUUCCUUGUGGUGGUUAUUAUCCUGUUUACAAAAUGAUUGUUGAUCAUAUAUCAUGCCAUUCUCAUUGAGUUUAUAAAUAAAACGUUUUUUUUUAAAGGUAGUCAAGCUCAAAAUGUGACUUUGCUGACAUUUUAUGAGACUCUGUCAUAUGUCCCUAACUACCAAUAAAAAAAAAANNNNNNNNNNNNNNNNNNNNNNNNNNNNNNNNNNNNNNNNNNNNNNNNNNNNNNNNNNNNNNNNNNNNNNNNNNNNNNNNNNNNNNNNNNNNNNNNNNNNAUUUCAGGAUCCACAAGGAGGAAAUA